rnacentral:rRNA from 1 species
GUGUCAGCCGCCGCGGUAAUACGGGGGGGGCGAGCGUUGUUCGGAAUUAUUGGGCGUAAAGGGCUCGUAGGCGGCCUGCUAAGUCGGACGUGAAAUCCCUCGGCUCAACCGGGGAACUGCGUCCGAGACUGGCGGGCUGGAAUCCGGGAGAGGGACGUGGAAUUCCAGGUGUAGCGGUGAAAUGCGUAGAUAUCUGGAGGAACACCGGUGGCGAAGGCGGCGUCCUGGACCGGUAUUGACGCUGAUGAGCGAAAGCCAGGGGAGCAAACGGGAUUAGAAACCCCUGUAGUCC